GAUAUAAAAAGACUGUCUGAUAAUAUUUGAAACUCUUAAAGAACGCCAAUAUAACUUCUAUAACGAUUUUAAAUUAACCAGUGCAAAGAGGGGCAGUAGAGGGGCAGCCAGAAACCCAUAAACUGCUACAUCCCACAUCUAAGAUGACGCGACUGAAGCUCCAACCCUGUCGCGAGGUAUAAGGCGCAGCUCCGAUCCGUGUUUAAGAAACACAUUACCUGCACUCUGCUGCGGAUUGAUACCAACCCCAUCGUUGGUGAUGAUCGCGCUGGUCUGCGGGGGGACCUUGAACUCCUCGGCUGCGAAUUUCAGCACGGCGGUGAAGGGAGCGGCCUCCGGAACGCUGAAAACUUUGAAGGGGAGCUUCGGAUCAGAUGUGAGGACGACCUUGAA
rnacentral:misc_RNA from 1 species